rnacentral:SRP_RNA from 1 species
GCCAUGCGUGGUGGCGCAUGCCUGUAAUCCCAGCUACUUGGGAGGCUGAGGCAGGAGAAUCGCCUGAACCCGGGAGGCUGAGGUUGCAGUGAGCCGAGAUGGUGCCACUGUACUCCAGCCUGGGUGACAGAGCGAGACUCUGUCUCAA